rnacentral:rRNA from 1 species
ACGCUGGCGGCAGGCCUAACACAUGCAAGUCGAACGCGUCCUUCGGGACGAGUGGCAGACGGGUGAGUAACGCGUGGGAACGUACCCUUUGGUUCGGAACAACAGCGGGAAACUGCUGCUAAUACCGGAUACGCCCUUACGGGGAAAGAUUUAUCGCCGUUAGAUGGGCCCGCGUAGGAUUAGCUAGUUGGUGAGGUAAUGGCUCACCAAGGCGACGAUCCUUAGCUGGUCUGAGAGGAUGAUCAGCCACACUGGGACUGAGACACGGCCCAGACUCCUACGGGAGGCAGCAGUGGGGAAUAUUGGACAAUGGGCGCAAGCCUGAUCCAGCCAUGCCGCGUGAGUGACGAAGGCCUUAGGGUUGUAAAGCUCUUUUGGCGGGGAAGAUAAUGACGGUACCCGCAGAAUAAGCUCCGGCUAACUUCGUG